CAGCCGCCACGGGAAUACAGAGGGUGCGAGCGUUAAUCGGAUUUACUGGGCGUAAAGCGUGCGUAGGCGGCUUCUUAAGUCGGAUGUGAAAUCCCUGAGCUUAACUUAGGAAUUGCAUUCGAUACUGGGAAGCUAGAGUAUGGGAGAGGAUGGUAGAAUUCCAGGUGUAGCGGUGAAAUGCGUAGAGAUCUGGAGGAAUACCGAUGGCGAAGGCAGUCAUCUGGCCUAAUACUGACGCUGAGGUACGAAAGCAUGGGGAGCAAACAGGAUUAGAGACCCCGGUAGUCCCUGUCUCUUAUAC
rnacentral:rRNA from 1 species